rnacentral:rRNA from 1 species
CGGGUGCACUGAUCCGGCCGGGCCUUUCCCUCUGUGGAACCCCAUGGCCUUCACUGGCUGUGCGGGGGAAACAGGACUUUUACUGUGAAAAAAUUAGAGUGCUCCAGGCAGGCCUAUGCUCGAAUACAUUAGCAUGGAAUAAUAGAAUAGGACGCGUGGUUCUAUUUUGUUGGUUUCUAGGACCGCCGUAAUGAUUAAUAGGGACAGUCGGGGGCAUCAGUAUUCAAUUGUCAGAGGUGAAAUUCUUGGAUCUAUUGAAGACUAACUACUGCGAAAGCAUUUGCCAAGGAUGUUUUCAUUGAUAAGGAACGAAAGUUAGGGGAUCGAAGACGAUCAGAUACCGUCGUAGUCUUAACCACAAACGAUGCCGACUAGAGAUCGGGCUUGACUAUUGAGGCUUGCUCGGGAUCUUAGCGAAAGCAAAGUUUUUGGGUUCUGGGGGGAGUACGGCUCGCAAGGCUGAAACUUAAAGGAAUUGACGGAAGGGCACCACCAGGAGUGGAGCCUGCGGCUUAAUUUGACUCAACACGGGGAAACUCACCAGGUCCAGACAUAAUAAGGAUUGACAGAUUGAAAGCUCUUUCUAGAUUUUAUGGGUGGUGGUGCAUGGCCGUUCUUAGUUCGUGGAGUGAUUUGUCUGGUUAAUUCCGAUAACGAACGAGACCUUAUUCUGCUAAUUAGCUGGGCCAACUUUUUAGUUGGUAGUUUCUAGAUUUCGGUCUAGC